CCCUCCCUGCCUGCUAGCACCACCCUUGUUCCUGCUGCUCUUGUUUUUGCCACGUGGCCACCCUGCCACAUGGUGUUUUGAGUCUCUGGGAAGCUUAAAUCAGACCAAUACACAGAGAUGUGUCAGUGAGCUGUAACAUCUGACCUCUUUUGACCUGGACAGGACCAACAGCUGUGGGAUGGUUGUGUACAUGGGGAGAAUGCCAUGGACCAUCCCUCCACUUCUCCACGUGCUCAUCACAGUGCUUCUGCUCCGCUUUCGUGGUGUGUGUGAUGCACUAAAGUCUGAAGGGCAGGAAAAGUAAUUUCCUACCUGGUGCCUACAUCAGCACAGUUCCAAGGAAGGAGACGCCCGUACCUGACCCUGUCUCUGAUGCUCUCUUGGCAGAGGCUACAUCCUUUUCUGAAGCAGCAGCAGGUGAGAGAGCUCACCACUAGCAUCAACCCCUAUCAAGUGGAGUAAAGGAAAUGGUUUUGGCUUGAAGCUUUGCUUUGAAGGAAUCAGUGGCAAAACAAGCCAGGAAGGCACGGAGGACACCCCAGCUGGUUUAGCUGCACCUCCAGCCUCAUGAAUUUGUUCUCUCAAGUAAUUAAUGCCAGCUUCUGAAAUGUGGAGGAAUGUAAAAGUCUGUGUGAUAGCUGGAGUUUGAUUUUUACAGGUGGAAAGGGAGCACUGUACCUUUUACUAUUAGCCACAGAGGAGCUGAAAAAGAAAUUGAACUCAGAAGCUUAAUCUGGCUUUAACAAACUGAGCAGAGCUGGCAAGGAGGAGUGGUUAGCAGGAGGGAGAAAUGAGACACUGGCUGCUCCAGAAGAUGAGCACCAGAGUCACUCUCCCCUCUCUGGGACAUGCUGUGAUGUUCAGUGGUGCUGGGUGGCACCUCUCUGUCUCAAACCUGGGUGCUCAGCAGCCCAGGGGGUCUGGGCUAACACCCUGCUGAGCAGAUCCUGCCUGAAGCAACUGGCCAGCAAAAUUGCCAUUUCCUCCACCUAUACUCUUAUUUUUUCCUCCCUUGCAUCUAAUUCAGGAUGCUUUUCAAUGGCCCUGGGCAAUGUGGGUGGAAGGGGGGACCAGACACCAAAAUAUGGAUGGGCAGGAACAUUAGGGUUGCCUCCAGCUUUGUACCUGGGCAGCUCUGGGGACCACUGGGACUUAUCUCUGUAGCUAUAGCUACUAUUUCCCUUCCAUCUCAGGCAAACAGCAGCCAGUCAGUACAAGCCUGUGCCCUGAGGAGUGCUGGUUUGCUGUGCCAACGAGAAACUUGCCUGGGAAUGAGAGGCACAGGGGAGUGUAGCUGCCUGGGUUUGUAGGGAAAAGCUGCUGAGCUGCUGUGCUGUUGAUUUAGGACUUUAUCUGUGGUCUGCAGUAUCACUCACUCUUCCUCCUUCUGUUUGCUCUGGGGCUCUGCUGGUGUGUAUUGACAGGAAUGAUUCCCUCACUGUCCUGGGAAGGGGAAAUGGGUAUUGCUGGCAUGCCUGUGGCAUUGUGCCCUGGGAUGAGUUCAGACCUUCAGGAAGUGCAGACA